GACAGAGGGUGCAAACGUUGCUCGGAAUCACUGGGCGUAAAGGGCGUGUAGGCGGGAAGGAAAGUCAGAUGUGAAAUCCCCGGGCUCAACCUGGGAACUGCAUUUGUGACUGCAAGGCUAGAAUCUGGCAGAGGGGGGUAGAAUUCCACGUGUAGCAGUGAAAUGCGUAGAUAUGUGGAGGAAUACCGAUGGCGAAGGCAGCCCCCUGGGCUAAGAUUGACGCUCAUGCACGAAAGCGUGGGGAGCAAACAGG
rnacentral:rRNA from 1 species